UCUUUCUCUUUGAAACUUUCUUUACUUUUUUUUGACAAGUAUUUGAGGAGCUUCUUUUCACAUUCACCAUAUCAUUGUUUUUUUGGAUAAGAAUGCCCGCACCUUAUUGUUUGAUCAUCUGAAGGAUUUUGCUAGUACUUGAUAUCUCUAAUUGAUGUUGUUGGUUGUUUUCUGUUUUCUUCUUUGCCUGAACUUUCUGUUAAAUACACUUUCUUCUUUCCACUUUCUGUUAAAUACAGGGACUGGAGAAGAAUCUCAUCACAAAAUCAUUUACUCGUGCAUGUAUUUGCUUCACUUGCAGAUGAUGUAAAAUUUGACAACAUACCACAUGAGCAGAUGGCUUUAGUUCAACAAUUCAUUUGACCAGCUUUACUUAUUCAACCCUUUGCCGAAAGCAUGGAUAGAUGAAUGGCUGCAGUACGUUGUUGUGAUCAUGGAUCAUGGAUCAUGGCGCGGCAGAGAGAUCAUGGAUCUUUGGGAUCAGAUUUGCACAAAUCUUCGAACCAGUUACUAUCAAAGAGCUUGAUUACUACACAUAUCCAAUGAUCAACAAUAGACUCAUUGUGAUAUGAACUAUAAGCCUCCCUCUAUAAAGAUUGUCAGCAAUACAAACCAUAAAAACACAGGCAAAGUAUAUGGGCAAAGUUUCUUGAUGCGAGUUAGAAUCCGGUACCAUGGGAACGGAAGCUGAUGUUCCAGAAGCUAUACGUAUCGCGGGAGAUGCAUAUUAUGAAGAGCAAGUAGGAGUAGUGAUUCACCAAAUGUUUCAGCAGUUCCAUGUGCUUGGAGAAGGGAUGAGCUUGUUGCUAGCUUUACCUUCAACCCUUUGCUGAAAGCAUGGAUAAAUGAAUGACUUCAGUGGUGUGAUACUAAAUCUUACAGAUUUGAUUUUGUACUCGUCUUAUCUAGUUAAGUGUAAGAGAUAUAUGUAGUGGCAUCUGUUAGGGAUGAAAAUUUUAUGAAGUGUUUCUUUUACAUUCAGCUUCUUAUAUAUAUGAUAUGAGGGUAAUACGAAUAUGACAU